CAUGCAAGUCGAGCGGUAGCACAGAGAGCUUGCUCUCGGGUGACGAGCGGCGGACGGGUGAGUAAUGUCUGGGAAACUGCCUGAUGGAGGGGGAUAACUACUGGAAACGGUAGCUAAUACCGCAUAACGUCGCAAGACCAAAGUGGGGGACCUUCGGGCCUCAUGCCAUCAGAUGUGCCCAGAUGGGAUUAGCUUGUAGGUGAGGUAACGGCUCACCUAGGCGACGAUCCCUAGCUGGUCUGAGAGGAUGACCAGCCACACUGGAACUGAGACACGGUCCAGACUCCUACGGGAGGCAGCAGUGGGGAAUAUUGCACAAUGGGCGCAAGCCUGAUGCAGCCAUGCCGCGUGUGUGAAGAAGGCCUUCGGGUUGUAAAGCACUUUCAGCGAGGAGGAAGGCGUUGUAGUUAAUAGCUGCAGCGAUUGACGUUACUCGCAGAAGAAGCACCGGCUAACUCCGUGCCAGCAGCCGCGGUAAUACGGAGGGUGCAAGCGUUAAUCGGAAUUACUGGGCGUAAAGCGCACGCAGGCGGUCUGUUAAGUCAGAUGUGAAAUCCCCGGGCUUAACCUGGGAACUGCAUUUGAAACUGGCAAGCUAGAGUCUUGUAGAGGGGGGUAGAAUUCCAGGUGUAGCGGUGAAAUGCGUAGAGAUCUGGAGGAAUACCGGUGGCGAAGGCGGCCCCCUGGAC
rnacentral:rRNA from 1 species